rnacentral:rRNA from 1 species
GACGAACGCUGGCGGCGUGCUUAACACAUGCAAGUCGCACGGAAAGGCUCCGCCCUUGUGGGGUGCUCGAGUGGCGAACGGGUGAGUAACACGUGAGUAACCUGCCCUUGACCUUGGGAUACCUCCAGGAAAAUGGGGCUACUACCGGACAGGAGCUCCUGCUGCAUGGUGGGGGUUGGCCAGCCGCGGCGGUUGGGGCUGGAUUCGCGGCUUAUCAGCUUGCUGGUGGGGUAGUGGCCUGCCAAGGCCUUGACGGGUAGCCGGCCGGAGUGGGUGACCGGCCACAUAGAGAGGGAGUUACAGCCCAGACUCCUUCGUGAGGCAGGAGGGAGGAGGAAAGCACAGUGGGCGGGAGCAAGAUGCAGCAACGCCGGGUGCGGGAUGGCAGCCGGCGGGUUGUAAGCCGCGUUCGCCUGUGACGGAGCGUGGGGGACGUUAAUGGGGAAGGAAGCACCGGCUAACUACGU